UAUUGGGCAAUGGAGGCAACUCUGGACCAGCCAUGCCGCGUGCAGGAUGACGGUCCUNNNGAUUGNACACUGCUUUUGUACAGNACGNAAACAUACUACGUGUAGUACAUUGACAGUCCUGUAAGAAUAAGGAUCGGCUAACUCCGUGCCAGCAGCCGCGGUAAUACGGAGGAUCCAAGCGUUAGCCGGAUUCAUUGGGUUUAAAGGGUCCGUAGGCGGCCUUAUAAGUCAGCGGUGAAAGUUUGUGGCGGAACCAAAAAAUUACCGUGGAUACUGUAGGGCGUGAAUUUUUGUGAAGUAACUAGAAGAUGUAGUGUAGCGGUGAAAUGCUUAGAUAUUACAUGGAAUACCAAUUGCGAAGGCAGGUUACUAACAAACGAGUGACGCUGGUGGACGAAAGCGUGGGUAGCGAACAG
rnacentral:rRNA from 1 species